UCACAGAUACACAAGAAAAUAAAAAGACAACUACAAAGUGCUUUACAUUAAACAUACAAUAUGAUACAAAUUGUAUGUUCAUGAUCAUAACACAUCUACAAUUUAUGCAAUAAAUCAUCAUGAAUCAGGCGUCAGUUAAGCAUGUUUUGCAUCCUGAUUAAAAAGUGUCAGUAUUCUAUAUCAAGCAGUUAUAGGACUGGUUGUACUGUGUACGGUUUUUGACCGCAUUGCCUGAGUGCGUAGUCUCAGGAUUGUCACCUUCUUCAGGCUAAAUCAAUGGCACACACGUUUCUCAAAUGACAACACACUUUCAUCAGCCCAUAACAUCCCGCGGCUGCACUCAGAUCGUCUGCAAAGCAGGAAACUCACUGACAAAUUUAGUAAAUUUUUCCACUCUAGAACGGAUUUAGUAGAGCAGAGUCAAACCUCUUAGAUGCUGUU